rnacentral:rRNA from 2 species
CACGCCCUAAACGAUGCGAACUGGAUGUUGGGCUCAACUUGGAGCUCAGUAUCGAAGCUAACGCGUUAAGUUCGCCGCCUGGGGAGUACGGUCGCAAGACUGAAACUCAAAGGAAUUGACGGGGGCCCGCACAAGCGGUGGAGUAUGUGGUUUAAUUCGAUGCAACGCGAAGAACCUUACCUGGUCUUGACAUCCACGGAACUUUCCAGAGAUGGAUUGGUGCCUUCGGGAACCGUGAGACAGGUGC